CCUUACCUUUGCUUGAAAUCCUAGCACAUAGCCUAGUAUUGCACCAAGAGGGAUACCAAUAAAGUAGUACGAUGUAACAUUAACAUAGGCAACUACACUUUGCCAACCCGAUCCGAUAGCGACACCUGAGAGCACUGGUUGAACACUAUUCAACAAAAUAGAGAAAGCUAGAAGGGGAGCAAGAUCAGCGACUUCAUCUGCUACUGCCUUACUUUCAGUAAAUAUGUAUGCAAGGCUUCCACGGAAGAAAAGGAAGAGCACAAACAACACAAAUCCUAUCAAGAAAGAAGUGGUGACCACAUUGAAAAUGGCAAACUUAGCUCUUCUUGCACUCCCGGCUCCAAGUUCAUUUGCCACCCGCACUCUAAAAAUAUACAUGCAUUAAGUAUAUAAAUCAUCAUCUCCCAACCAUUGAUAUUAAGGCUACAAAGUUUGCAAGUGAAAACAACAAUGUUCAAGUUGUUUUCUAAACUAAUACACAACAGAUUAGAGUGGAAUAUAUUACCAUAUAGAAAGAGCAUCAAGAGCAACCUCUGCAUUCUUCAUAUAACCAGUGAGGAGCACCAAUAUGGUGUUGUACCACAAUUCUAAACUGAAAAGGUAAAAGAAAAAUGAGAAUAAAUAAAUUUCAUAUAUACACAUAAACGUAACCAUGUUACUUACCAAAGCAUCACUCCAGACGAUAAUGAAAGCUUCAUAAUAGCACCAAGAUCAGUAAAAGCAGAGGAUGAGAACCCUGUCCAUGUUAGAGGGCAACCACCAAAGAAGACAAAAGCGAGUUGGCCAAACACAGGGAUCCAAAAGGAGAUGACCAUGGAUCCCAUGACCCCAGCAAGACCAAGUUGGAACUUGACUGUUAGGAGCCAUGACAAGAAGAGGUGAAUCCCAAGAUUGAGGAAGGCAAGGUAAGUGACAAUCAUGUUCUUGCUCUGCGCUUGUAGGUACAUUUGGAGCGUGAAUGCCCAUAUGUAAGAGAACAUUACGGGGAUGUACCAUAGAGAGAUGGUGCCAGCGACGGCAGAGAUCUCAGGAUCUUGACCGAGAGCAAUCAGGAGUGGAGUUGUGAAGAUAUAGACCGGGAGAAGGAUGACUGCACAACAGAAGAGAACUAGCCAUGAGCGUUGUAGAUAGAUGCCCAACAUGUGAUAUUGCUUGGCGCCAUAUGAUUGUCCACACAACGUUUCUAAUGCGCUCGCCAUGCCAAGCUGCAAUUUACAACAAUGUGCAUAUACAGUUAAUUUGUAGUAUAUACUGUUUUUAUAUGCAUAUU
rnacentral:sRNA from 1 species